rnacentral:rRNA from 1 species
GAUGAACGCUGGCGGCGUGCUUAACACAUGCAAGUCGAACGAGGUGAUUGAAAGCUUGCUUUUGAGAACCGAGUGGCAAACGGGUGAGUAACGCGUAGACAACCUGCCGCAAAGAUGGGGACAACAGUCCGAAAGGACUGCUAAUACCGAAUGUUGUCAGUUUUCCGCAUGGGAGACUGAUUAAAGAUGGCCUCUACUUGUAAGCUAUCGCUUUGCGAUGGGUCUGCGUCUGAUUAGCUAGUUGGUGGGGUAACGGCCUACCAAGGCGACGAUCAGUAGCCGGUCUGAGAGGAUGAACGGCCACAUUGGAACUGAGACACGGUCCAGACUCC